rnacentral:rRNA from 1 species
UGUGGUUAUCAAAACAGGAUUAGAUACCCUGGUAGUCCACGCCAGUAAACGAUGAUAAACUAGGGAGUUUUGCGAUAAGACAGUAAGCUCUACAGCGAAAGGCGUUAAGUUAUCCACCUGGGGAGUACGCCGGCAACGGUGAAACUCAAAGGAAUUGACGGGGGCCCGCACAAGCGGAGGAACAUGUGGUUUAAUUCGAUGAUACGCGAGGAACCUUACCCGGGUUUGAACGUAGUUUGACAGGUCAGGAGACUGACUUUCUAGUAAUAGCAAAUUGCGAGGUGCUGCAUGGUUGUCGUCAGCUCGUGCCGUGAGGUGUCGGCUUAAGUGCCAUAACGAGCGCAACCCUUACUGUUAGUUGCCAUCAGGGUGACUGGGCACUCUAAUGGGACUGCCGGCGUAAGCUGUGAGGAAGGUGGGGAUGACGUCAAAUCAGCACGGCCCUUACAUCCGGGGCGACACACGUGUUACAAUGGCGAGGACAGCGAGAAGCCAACUAGUGAUAGUGCGCGAAUCUCUCAAACCUCGUCUCAGUUCGGAUCGGAGUCUGCAACUCGACUUCGUGAAGCUGGAUUCGCUAGUAAUCGCGGCAUCAGCCAUGGCGCGGUGAAUACGUUCCCGGGCCUUGUACACACCGCCCGUCAAGCCAUGGGAGUUGGGGGUACCUAAAGUGCGUAACCGUUGAGGAGCGUUCUAGGGGUAAAACUGAUGACUGGGGCU